UGGGGAAUAUUGCACAAUGGGCGCAAGCCUGAUGCAGCAACGCCGCGUGAGUGAAGAAGUAUUUCGGUAUGUAAAGCUCUAUCAGCAGGGAAGAAAGGCUCUUCGGAGAGAUGACGGUACCUGACUAAGAAGCCCCGGCUAACUACGUGCCAGCAGCCGCGGUAAUACGUAGGGGGCAAGCGUUAUCCGGAUUUACUGGGUGUAAAGGGAGCGCAGACGGCAGUGCAAGUCUGAUGUGAAAGCCCGGGGCUCAACCCCGGAACUGCAUUGGAAACUGUACAGCUUGAGUGUCGGAGAGGUAAGCGGAAUUCCUAGUGUAGCGGUGAAAUGCGUAGAUAUUAGGAAGAACACCAGUGGCGAAGGCGACUUACUGGACUGAAACUGACGCUGAGGCUCGAAAGCGUGGGGAGCAAACAGG
rnacentral:rRNA from 2 species